UCUGCCUGCUGGCAGAUGAGCUCCUGGCUGAGUGCGGGUGCUGAGGGCUGCUGAGCCAGCUGCUCCGAGAAUGUAACUAAAUGUGAUGGCCCCUCCGUGAUGGCCGCCGAGGUUCACAGGAAAGGUCAAUGACUGGGGAGACGCUGGGCGGCUCUGUCACAGCAGGUCACCCCCAGUCUCCCAUGUGCAUGCAGUCCUGAGAGAUGUAGCGAAGCCAUGGAUAAAGGAUCGAAUCAUAAAGAAAUGGAUAUGCGGGAUGCCGAACCUCCACGAGGUGCCUCACAGAUCUCAGUUACCACAGAGAAAUGGGAGCACUCUACAACUAACAGAAAUAACAAGACAGCAUCCGAAAGAUGCCGGAAUUUUGUCAGACACCAAGAAAUACAGGUGUUUCGCCUACAAGUAUAUCUGUGUACCACUUGCAUGCAGUGCCCACAGAGACCAUAAGAGGGCACUGGAUCACCUGGAGCUGGAGUAACAGAUAUUUCUGAACUGUCGUUAGGAUGAGCCUAGGUCUUCUGGAAGUGCAGUCAUUGCUCUUAACUGCUGAGCCACCAUCACUCCAGCCCCCUAUACUUAACAUUUUUUAAAAUACAUUGCAAUCUGGGCAUGACAGCUUCAUGGGAGGUGGAGAUGGCACUGUUGCUUCAAGCAGUAAGUUCAAGACAAGCCUGUACAACAUAGAAAACCCCAUCUCAAAGAAUGCCUACAGUAAAAAUAUAUCACAGUCACGGGUCCACAUGCGUGAGCGGAAACCUACACCUAAAACUAUAUAUGACCAGCUAUUUUCAAGUUUCUUUAUUGUUAAUAUUGGAUUAGUACUUCUUUGCUAUAAUGGAAGGUCAACUGGUGUUUGUGAGGACCCAGGCCAACGUGCUUGACUGGAGAGAAAACAAAGCUGAGAAAAACUGGAUUGCAUUACCUAUUUCAUGAGCACAAGGAAAGAUCUCCGUCUCCUUCCUUUCUGGGGACCGCGAUGGGAUAGUUUGGGAUAGCUCAUGGAGAGCGCACGGAUGCAGGAGGGAGAUCUUCAGGACGUGUAUACCAUCACUUUGUGCCUGGGAGAAUCGGGAUGAAGAUCAGACGCUCCCCUCACGCUGUCUAGACUCUGGUGUAGAAGGUAGAUGCUGAAGAAGUACCUUGAAUGAUGUGAGCAUGGAGCUCAGUCUGAGUUUAGAAGACAGUAAAAAAGGGAGAGACAAUGUCUUAUUAUUUUACACACUGGUGAAACGAAAUACCGACCAGACCAACUUAAGGAGGGAAGGGCUUAUUUUCACCUACAGAAUAUUCCAGGGAAUGCAGUCCAUGUUAGUGGGGAAGGCGUGGCAGCAGGACCAUGAGGCCAGCGGUCACACUUACUGACAGCCUGGAAGCGGAGAGAGGGAACCAGAAGGAGGACAGGGUUGUAAAACCUUAUGGUCUACUCCCCAGUGGCAUACUUCCUCCAGCAAGUGUCCAUCUCUUCCCAAACAGUGCCACCAGGUGGAGACCUAUUAUUUCAAACAUGUGACCCUACAUGUGGCAUCUCAAAUUCAGACCAGAAGAGGCAAAAGGCUCCGUGGAAAUAGUUGAGAAAGCAAGCUGGAAAGCUAGAAAGUUGGUUGUGUGCACAGAAAUGCUGCCUUGAGUGGUUUUUUUCCUAGAUAGUUUUAGGAGGUAGACACAGAGGUGAAGUCAUUGACAAAGAAGAGCUAAGGUGAUAGAGAGGCUGGCGCCAGAAGGAAGAUCAAUCAGGUACAGUUAGCUGGCAAGCAAGCUGGUUCUGAUGAGAGAGUACAAGGAUCGUGGGCCUAAUGAUGACACUGUGGAAAGGGUCUCGGAAGAGGGCUGGUGAGAGAGUACAGUGGACAGGGCGCUUGCCUUGAAGGCAUGAGGACCUCAGUUUGAUCUCCAGAAGCCAGGUUUACAAAAGCUGUGGUGGUGGCGAGCACUGGGGUGCCAGAGGCAGAGGUUCCGUGCUUGCUGGUCAGCUGGCCUAGUCUAUUUCUUGGGACACAGGACAAUGAGAGUCACUAUCUCAAAAAAAAAAAAAAAAAAAA